CCCAACUAUCCCUAUUAAUCAUUACGGUGAUCCUAGAAACCAACAAAAUAGAAUGCGAUGUCCUAUUUCAUUAUUCCAUGCUAAUGUAUUCAAGCGUUGGCCUGCUUUAAACACUCUAAUUUUUUCAAGGUAACAGUCCUAAUUCCCCACAACAUCAAAUGAAUGACAUCAUGGUUCCUUAGAAGGUGAGAACCAAUAUGACCAGUACAUACCAUUGGCAUGACCGAUCCAUUGAUCCCGAGGUUCAACUACGAGCUUUUUAACUGCAACAACUUUAAUAUACGCUAUUGGAGCUGGAAUUACCGCGGCUGCUGGCACCAGACUUGCCC
rnacentral:misc_RNA from 1 species